rnacentral:hammerhead_ribozyme from 1 species
AUCCAGCUGACGAGUCUCAAAUGGGACGAAACGUGCGUCCUGGAU